rnacentral:tRNA from 1 species
GGGGUUGUAGUUCAGUGGUAGAGCACUUGCCUAGCAUGUGUGAGGCACUGGGUUCAAUCCCCAGCACCA